UUUUUACCGGGGUUAUCACCGGCUGGUUUAGCACCGAACCGUAUUUAAGAAUUCGGAGCAAUCGCUGGUUUUGUCGGUGUGCAUGCCCUUAGGGGAAGCCUAAUGACGCGAUCGGAUUCUCCACCUGUUACCUAUCGGUUCAGGAUCGGAUCAGUCGUGAUAUCCCGGUGACCAA
rnacentral:other from 1 species